CUCACGAAACUGAUUUUUAUCUCGGAAAUUUAUCAUAAAAAGUGCUGAAAAUUACUUCAAAUAUACAGUCACCAUGAAGAUGAUAACUUGGAAUUGUAUUUUUGUGCUAUGUAUUUUUCUUAUGUUUGUUUCCUUCGUUCAAUCGCAAUCUCAACAAGGUCAAAACAUGCAGCAACAAGAACAGAACCGAAAAAGACAGCAGCAAGGAAUGGGACUUGGCUUAGGAUUGGGCCUUGGUUUGGAUCUAGGCAUGAAUUUGGGUCGUUAAUAUUUGGACCAGAUUCGGAAAAAAUAACGAGUAGAAGACAAAUUCCAUUCCACACCUCUUUAUAAGGAAACAUUUAUUAACUAUGACAAAAAAAAUUAACAACCAUAUAAAUAUACGAUAUUUUUUCUGUUAACUACAUAUCAACAUUCACAAUAUUAACAUUCAUAAAUUCUCUUCUCGGAUAUAUCCUAUUUGUCCUAUAUAUAAACAUCAAAACUGUGUAAAUCAAUCUGAAAAUUCGAAAUUCAUACAAAAAAUAUAUCUGAAAGAAUAUCACGAUCAUAUUCAAUAGGUUUAUGUAAAAUAAUAUUUUUUCAAAAAUCGCUGUACACAGAAAUUGCCAUGGAAGUUUUCUAUUUAUAUAGAUUAAAUUUAUACAGUUCGUUGAAAGUCAUUGUUUUAAAUCAUCAGAAUCUCAUAUCGGUAAGAUGUUUCAGUAUUUCAUAAGUAGUCACUUAUGAACUAAAAUUUGGCACAUCAAGAAACAAUAAAAUUUGUAUUGAUUUUA